rnacentral:ncRNA from 1 species
CAUAUUGGCACUGGGGCCAGAAGCCGCCCAGGACCGGGGCCGUACACCUGUUACACGGUAACACAGGUGUUCUAAGGUGAGCUCCAGGAGGACAGAAACCUGUGAGGCGGAGGGGCAAAAGCUCACCUGAUCUUGAGGUUCAGUAUGAAUAUAGACCAUGAAAGUGGGGCCUCACGACACUUCUGACCUUUUGGGCUUUAAGCAGGAGGUAUCAGAAAAGUUCCAACAGGCAUAACCAGCUUGUGGUGGCUAAGCAUUCACAGUGUUGCUGCUUUUUGAUCCUUCGGUGUCAGCACUUCCUGUCAUUGUGAAGCAGAAUUCACCAAGCGUUGGGUUGUUCACCCACUGAUAGAGAAUGUGAGCUGGGAUUACACCGUGGUGAGACAGGUUAGU